CCUGCGGAGGGAUCAUUACCGAGUUUACAACUCCCAAACCCCUGUGAACAUACCAAUUGUUGCCUCGGCGGAUCAGCCCGCUCCCGGUAAAACGGGACGGCCCGCCAGAGGACCCCUAAACUCUGUUUCUAUAUGUAACUUCUGAGUAAAACCAUAAAUAAAUCAAAACUUUCAACAACGGAUCUCUUGGUUCUGGCAUCGAUGAAGAACGCAGCAAAAUGCGAUAAGUAAUGUGAAUUGCAGAAUUCAGUGAAUCAUCGAAUCUUUGAACGCACAUUGCGCCCGCCAGUAUUCUGGCGGGCAUGCCUGUUCGAGCGUCAUUUCAACCCUCAAGCCCUCGGGUUUGGUGUUGGGGAUCGGCGAGCCCUUGCGGCAAGCCGGCCCCGAAAUCUAGUGGCGGUCUCGCUGCAGCUUCCAUUGCGUAGUAGUAAAACCCUCGCAACUGGUACGCGGCGCGGCCAAGCCGUUAAACCCCCAACUUCUGAAUGUUGACCUCGGAUCAGGUAGGAAUACCCGCUGAACUUAAGCAUAUCAAUAA
rnacentral:rRNA from 1 species